AAUGCUGGUUACUUCUGCUGAAUUAGGCUGCUUUCCUUCCUGUCCAGAGUAGAGUGAAGCCCAGAGACAUGCCCAGAAUCCAAGCCUCAGCUAUGGCUCCAUGGAAUGGAUUAUUUAUUUCUGUAGCUGAACACUGAUACAUCACUGAUACAGAGACAUUUGGAUGAGCCUCAAACCCUCUCCCUUUAUUCUUCUUUCCUCACUUUUUUUAGUUGUACAGGACAGCAGCAAUAGCUGUCUCAUACAUGGAAGAAAAAUCUUUGUUUCCUGUCAGCCUUGGAGUUUGUACAUUUGCAUCCUCCCAAAUCCAAAGAGAAGCAAGGAAAAGCUUGAAGAGGCUGCUUCAGCUGCUUCUACUCACAAGAACCUCUGGGGACAAGGUCUUGUUUUCCCUGGCUGGUCACCUGUUGGACAGCCACAUCCUGUCUAAUGACUCAGCUGUGAGUUGCUCAAAAUUAUGUUUCCCUAUCUGACCCCACCAAGGUUUCAUAGAAGAACAGUCUGAUUUGUGUUAGAAUGGACUGAAAACUCAUUCCAUUCCAUGCACUGCUGUGGGCAGGUACAGCUUCUACUAUUCCAGGUUCCUCCAAAUCCUGUCCAACCUUGCCUUGGACACUUCCAGGGAUGGGGCAGCCACAGCUUCUCCCAGCAACCAGGGUCUGCCCACCCUCACAGGGAAGGAUUUCUUCCUAAUGUUCCUUUCAGUCAUUCCAGGAAGCCCCAGGCCAUGCUCAAACCAGACUUUGGUUCAAAGGAGAAAG